CAAAGUGACCUAGCUGAUGUGGCUUGUGGUCACGAGCAACAAAUUCAGCAGUGAUAUUCCUGGGUAUGGAGCUCAGGUAUUGCAUCUGUACCAAGGAGGCACAAGGGGCCGUUGAGCUGUAGCUCUCUAACUCCUCUGCAAGGCUCAGGAGAUGUGGGAUGCUUUGCUGUUGGCUUGAUAGGAGGAAAUGCUGCUUUCCUGUGAGUGAGUGAAGUUAACCCAAGACAUAGUUUUCAGCACAGAAACACCUUUCCAGCUCUGUUUCAUGGAGAAGAGACCCAACAGCUCCCUGCGAGCUGACCUGAAGCUGCAGGAAUAUUCUGAGGUGGAGUCACGACUAUUAAAGCAAAAACAAGAUGAUGCAAGGACGCAGCUCACUUGGUGUCAGCCUUUCCUGCGGAAACACAAAGAGGGUUUGUUGAUGCCACGUGUAGGCUGCCUCAGGUCGAGUCAUAUUUCUUUCUUUAUGGAGAUGAAGUUAGUCUUUAAGGCACCAGCUCAAAAUGGCCUUUCUUUCAUUACAAAGUUAUUUAGUUACGGGUAGGUAACUCUAAAUGACAUUUCUACAUCUUGCACUUUAUUAGUUGAUCCUAGCUGCUAAAUUACACAGAGUGAGCAGCAGAGUACAGCGGGGGAGUUGAGUGUGUUUUGGCUAAUUUUGGAUGGGGUCCAACCUUCUGGAGUUGGAAAUUUGCCUCCGAGAUGAUGAGCUUGUGCACCUCCCUCGGGGAGGGUUGUGAAGUCAGAAAGCAAAAAGGACUGGUGAAGAAUUAAAAACAAAAGUGUAAACACUGGGCUAUUUCCCUGCUCCCCGGAGAGCUCUGUGAGCACUGAGCUGUGUACUGUUCAGGAGAGGAAAAGCCAGCUCAGCGUCACUGACUUACUCAGAGGGUGAUGAGGCAGUGGUGCCAGCUACCCAGAAAGCUGUGAGUGCCCCCUCCCUGGAGGUGCUCAAGGCCAGGUGGGGUGAGGCCCUGGGCAGCCUGAGCUGGUGGGUGGCAGCCAGCCUACAGCAGGGGGUUGGGACCAGGUGGGCUUUAAGGUCCUCUCCAACCUAAGCCUUUCCAUGAUUCCAUGACUUGAGCUGGUGCUGGAGAUGAUGCUGGCAAGGGAACAGAUGACCACAAAGCCACCCACCCUUCCCACCUUACUUUGCUUUAAUCUGUGGAGAAGAUGCACUCUAACCUGCAGCACGAAGAUUUUUUUUUCCCCCAGCUCCAAAUGUACUAAUUUGGAGGAAAGCCUGAGUCCUCCUGAAGCUGGCAGGACUCCUUGUCAACAUGCACAAAACCCCAGAGCAGAUGGGCACAGAUUUUGGCUAAGCACAGCAGCAGUUGUUGAGUAUUACAGUCUGUCAUCUCAUCCAGGAGCAUCCCAGCAGCUGCCUUUGCUUCUCCCUUUACUGAGAGGUGUCAGUGUGCCUCUCCUUGCACCCAGCAUCGCACUGCUGCCACUGAAGUUUUGAUUUCUAUGGCCAAGAAUGUUUUCUAUUGCAAUCUCAGCUCUUGCUUUUAAAAGCCAUACAGAGAAAUGACAUACAUUCAAGUGUAGACAUGUUUCUUCAACAGCUCAUGCUUGCCCUUCCAUAACUUUCAUGUCCUAAGGAUCAUGGAAAACCUGGUAGUACAUUACUUUCAGUAGGCUGCCAGAAAGAGAGUUCAUUUAGUUUGAUGACAGAUUAAUACUGAUUCACAAAUUAAUUUUGUCUCUUUGUAUAUCAAGGGUGUCCACAACUUAUUUAAUUUGUAAUAAAUAUAAUUAUAGAAAUGAAUGAGCUAUCAAGAUUUUUAAAGUAUGAUCCAUCAAUGUUGGCAUGACUUGUAAUCCUGGUCAUUAUAAAUAAAAUGGGCCUUUUUCAAGA